GCGGCCCCGCGCAGGCGCCCGCCCGGCCGCUCUGAGGGGAGUGAGGCGGCGGCUCCUGGCGACCUCCGGGCGCUGGCCCUGGGCAGCGCCCGCUCCCAAACCCUUCCUGUUACAGCCGCUGUUACAGUGUAUGAAUGCUCACAGGCUUCACGCAGUGCCAGGCUCCAGCAGCUUAGCAGGGCAACAGAAAUGAGGAAGCAGAAGGCACAAUGUGAGGUUUGAACAAACCUGAAGAUCGUGGUAGAAAACCAGUGAAGAAGCUCCCUCUGGAACACUGUGCCUGAAAGGGAUAGUGAGUUUAUUGAAUUAUAAACAUGAGGUUGUCAAAUACAAGAUGUGAAGUUACACAUAUUCUGUCUAGUCUGUCUUUCAGGGUAAAUGCUUUCAGAAUAUUGUAUUCAGCUACAGCGUCCUCAGUCUAAGAUAAAUUGCACAUAGUUAAAAAAAAUUGGGAAAAUUAGUAAAGAUUUGGAAAAAUGCUGGUUAAUAAGAGAUUUCAAAGAUCAAUAUAUUCACUUUAUUCAUUGGGAGUUUGUGAGUUUUACAUAGAUAUAGUCUUUAAGACACUUUCUUUAUAAAACAUUUUCAGCACAAAAUAAAAUUAUACAGUACAGUCACAGCUAUUCAGGUAUACUGAUGUAUGGCAAAUCUUGAAGCCAAAACUAGUCAGAAUUAAAGCUUUAUUUUAGCAGUGAAAAUAAUAACAACUGGAAUAACUUUCUGAAGGGUAAUUUUCUACAGGAUGGGAUCUGCUUCAUAUAAUAAUUAUAUCUUAGUCAAGCUCUUAAUUCUGCUUAGACAAUCUCUUAGUUUUUCUUUAGACUUUGAAGACCCAAAUAUAGCUGUUUACUAUAAUCCUCCCACAAUUAUAAUAUAUGGUUCACAACAUUUCUUCAAAUGCGUCCUGGAGCUUUUCACACUAAACAUAAUGGAAAAUUUUUCCCUUUGUUCUGCAGUAUUUGUUUUCUACUUGGAAAAGAUGAAGAUCACUACUUCCUCUGAGAUCAAAUAAAUGAGUGUGUUAGUAAAUUGGGUAAGGUGGGAGCACUGAACUGUUUCAGUUAGUAAACUGCAUUAAAAUGUGUCGGGGGAAUGUAUGAAGAGAAAUAUUACAAAAUAUUUCUCAGGAAUGUCAAAGGAAAGCAACAUAUACAGUUUACAUUUGUUGAACCAACUUAGCUGUUUUCUAUUUUAUUUCUCCCAAGAAAAGACUACGUGGUCCAAAAUUCUCUCUGAUAAUUUCUGCUGUGCAGAGGGUCUCCAACAUCAAUGUAAAGCUGUGACUGUCAGCAGGGGGUACUUAGACAUACUUCCUCACAGUGAGGAAGGAACAGCUUCUGUCCAGCUCUGGUAAAGCACCUUUGCCCAGCACCUGGCUGCUAAGUUCUGGGGUGGUGUAUCACACCAAGGAUAUUAUACCAUUGCCCUUCUUUGAAGCAGGAAGGAAAGAUAAAGGUCUCAAAGCCUUACAACAAGCUGGGUUAAGGCCUAGGAGACAUGCACCAUGUAAAAUGGAUGAGAUGAUCUAUAGUGACCCCAUCUUGAUAAUGUGUCUCUGUGUCUGAGACUGCUGCUCCCUCAUCCUUUAUAGAACAUCACCAUCACCAUUAUCCAUGUUGUCCAUUGAUCCCGUUUACUUCUAAUGAGCAAAGCUAAUUAGUCACAGGAGAUAGGAAUUAAAUACCACCGAAAGGGCAGCCAAAGCUGUUGUUCGGCCUGUUUACACAUACAAUGAAGGAGGUCAUGAACAAAAGCUUUGUUACAUCCCCCCAGAGGUUUUAAGGCAGUUUGACAUCACAGAUUUCUCUGUUUUCCUAGUUUUUCAUUUUCAUCAGCCUCUUACUUUAUUUUGCUCUCUCACUUUCUACUCCAGGAGUCUUCCACCCACACUACCCUGUUAAUAUACUCAGCCUGGCUGUGCCUGAUCCGUUACUUUACAAGGACCCAUGGCUGGUUUCUGCAGGCUUUCCCCAGUCCAGUUGCUACUUGCUGGUCCCCUCUUUUUCCAGAAGUAACCAUGACAACUUGUGUUGAACUCUUCAGUGCAGUUUUCAAUCUCUGUUCCCUAAAUUCUUGAUAACUAAGUUGCUAUUUGAAGCUGUCUUGUUAUACAAAAGCAAAUAUGAUUAUACACCGUGAUAAUGUGAUGGCCCCUGUCAAUAAUUGUAAAAUUUCAUAGCUUAAACUCUUUCAUGAAAAUUCCAUUUAAAAAAUCACAUGAGUUCUAUGAAUUCAAGUUAGGAUGCCAAUCAAUUAACUGAUUCUAUCACUUAGAUAGUUUUAAAAAAGAAAAUAAACAUGUGUGAGGCACCAAAAAAUUCAAAGUCUUACUGUAAGAUUAUUUAUAUCCUCAUUGUCUGGAAGCUUGAGGGUCAUCUAAACCAGUGAAUCAACUUUUUCCUGAACAGGGUCACAUGUGCAUAUCCCCUCAAAAAAAUUAUCAAUACUCAGAAUAUAUUAAAAUCCACAUUUAGAUGUUUACCGUUGAAUAGAUGCUGUGCAGAUUUAACUGCUGGCUUAAUUCAUUCUGAGACCUGCAAUGAAUUUUUAAUUACUGUCUGUUUAAAUUUCAGACUACUUCCACUAUUUCAGUGAGAUCAUCAAAAGUUCUAUUGCUUACAAGAUGUAUUUAAUUGUUUAGAGAGGACAUAUAAAUCUAUUUAAAAUAGGGAGAUGUAUGAUCACAGAAAGAUGAGAAAAGAAGCAGAAGCAGACGGUGUGUAAGAUCAUGAUGAUAGUUUGCACUAGUAUUUCAUUCAGCAAUGGGAAGAAAAAGCUAUAGGUAGUUCAUAAUAACCACGGAGACAUAAUAAUCUCCAAAUGUGCAAGUAACUGAGAGAUGCUAAAUCCACCAUUAAAUCAAAUGGCAUUUUUAACAUGUUUUAUGUCAUGGUGGUUUUGGUUUUAAUUAACCACUUAAUUUCUGUAUGGAUUAAUAAGGAUCAAAAUUUUGAAAGUCUUGAUUCCUCUUUCCUUUAGGAAAAAGAAAAUAAUUUCCUAAGGAUAAGAGUUACAAGGUAGAGAACUUUUAUAGUAACUGGUCACUCACAGCAAAGAAUUGGAAUAUGUAUGUUAUGCUUGCAUGACUGACUCCUGUGCAGGUAAAAACUGAUGAGUUACUCCAGCCAACUGUUUCUAGUAUUGUGUUCAACCUAAUAUCAAAUUGCAUAUGAGAGGAAGCAAAGAAUUUGUUCAUAAAGAGAAACUUCUUCACCCCCAGAAAACCAGAUGCAAAUGUAAAAUGAAUCAGUAAUGACCAAAAGCCACCGCUUUGCAGUGUCUGGGGCAGUACAACACCCUGAGCUCCUUCCUGAACAACAGCAUUUUGUGUCAAAAGAAACAAUCUUAAUUGUCAGGGGCAGCUGGCUGGGUACAAGGCGCUGCCUGAUGUGCUGCUUCACUGUUACUGAGGGUUCAGAGCUGGCAGUCUCUGAGAGCACUCGCUGUACCUGUGCAUGAACAGAGCAGUAGCACAUGGAAAGAAGUCUUGCCUUGGCACUAAAUUCCAAAUGACCCAGUGAAGCUGAUAUCCAGCUGUUACAGGAAACAAAGCCAAGGAACAACAGGACAUGAGCUCAAUGCAUGGACUCCCAACUGGUCAGCUGAUUUGUGCAGAACCAGGGAACCUGCAUUUUCUACCAGAGGUGUCAGAAGUUCAGAGUCUCCACAGACUCAUGCUCACAGUCUCAUUGCUGCAGCUGCUGCAAACACUGCGAGGAAAUAAGAGAAUAGGGCCCUGAUUUAAGAGAGCUUUGUGCCAAAGGAGUCUGGCACUGACCAUCCUAUCGAUAAGCUCGAUACCAAACCAUUAUGAAAUGGUAGUGACAAGAACACACAGCAAUCAAGGAGCCACAGAGCUGUUAAUAUUUGAUAGUGACUGGAAUGACAAAUGCAACAAGAGAAAGAGGGCUUGUAGUGGGAGAAAACUGUUGAAAACUGUUGAAAACUGUGGAGUUUCCAUUCGACAGCACAAGCGUUGAGGGCUCAGAACUGCCACAGUUAUGUCUUCAGAUCAGGUCUGGAAUACAGGGUCAGCAGCUCUGGGAAAGAAGGCAGAUCGCUGCAGCAGGAGCUGCAAUAUGUGAGUGGAGACGUGGAAAAGACAGACAUUUCUCCAUGUAGUGCUUGGAAAACAAAACAACAGCAGCGAGGAUCAGGAGAGAUCCGGGAGAAGCGAUCUUAAGUGGUGCAUUUCCCACAGCCCCGGCAGAGAGGGGAUGUGGAGCUGAGGAAGCCAGAGGGGAGGGCUGCCCUGGGCAUGGUGCCUCGGGCAGGAGCUGGCCAGGGCCCUGGCUGGCAGCCACAUGGAGCUGUCCACCAGUACAUUCCUUCCACAGCAGGAGAGAUGCAGGAAGGGGGCUGCAGUCCUGAGACACAUCCCUUGUGUCCCUCUUUCUUGUUUCCUCGCUAAGCAUGCUGGCCAGAGAUAGCAAAUGAGACAAUUGGGCCAACGGGCAACUAUUAAUAUACUUUGUUCUCUUAGCCCCUUUUUAUUUUCACAGAAGGCAAAGACCAAAGGCUUUUUAUCUGCAUGGUUUUGUUCAGUAGAAAACUGUAAAGCCAUGACCAGCAAGGUCUAACACAUUUCUUAGCAAUCAUUUAUUUUAAAGAAAAUGAAAAAUUUGUCAUUAAAGGACAAUGGGAAAAUUACAGAAUUAAGAAGUUCUCCUCAUACAGAUGAUGCACUUGUAGGUUAUUCUUGUCUCCUGCCAGAGAUGACCCAAGGCUUGUCCAUGUGCUUUGACUCUCCAGCACUUGCCUUGCUUUGUCAAGACAGAAAAAUCUUUGGGCGCUUCAAACUUUUCAAGUAAGCAUUCCCUUCAAAUAAUAACGCAUAAUAACACCAUGCUCCACUAAGGGGAACAGAGUCAUAGAACCAUGCAAUCACAGAAUGGCCUGAGUUGGAAGGGACCUUUAAAGCUCACACAAAUUCCAAUCCCCCUGCUGCAGACAGGGAUACCCUUCACUAGACCAGGUU